UGCAGUCGAGCGGAGUGAUAGUGCUUGCACUAUCACUUAGCGGCGGACGGGUGAGUAAUGCUUAGGAAUCUGCCUAUUAGUGGGGGACAACAUUUCGAAAGGAAUGCUAAUACCGCAUACGUCCUACGGGAGAAAGCAGGGGAUCUUCGGACCUUGCGCUAAUAGAUGAGCCUAAGUCGGAUUAGCUAGUUGGUGGGGUAAAGGCCUACCAAGGCGACGAUCUGUAGCGGGUCUGAGAGGAUGAUCCGCCACACUGGGACUGAGACACGGCCCAGACUCCUACGGGAGGCAGCAGUGGGGAAUAUUGGACAAUGGGCGCAAGCCUGAUCCAGCCAUGCCGCGUGUGUGAAGAAGGCCUUAUGGUUGUAAAGCACUUUAAGCGAGGAGGAGGCUACUUUAGUUAAUACCUAGAGAUAGUGGACGUUACUCGCAGAAUAAGCACCGGCUAACUCUGUGCCAGCAGCCGCGGUAAUACAGAGGGUGCAAGCGUUAAUCGGAUUUACUGGGCGUAAAGCGCGCGUAGGCGGCUAAUUAAGUCAAAUGUGAAAUCCCCGAGCUUAACUUGGGAAUUGCAUUCGAUACUGGUUAGCUAGAGUGUGGGAGAGGAUGGUAGAAUUCCAGGUGUAGCGGUGAAAUGCGUAGAGAUCUGGAGGAAUACCGAUGGCGAAGGCAGCCAUCUGGCCUAACACUGACGCUGAGGUGCGAAAGCAUGGGGAGCAAACAGGAUUAGAUACCCUGGUAGUCCAUGCCGUAAACGAUGUCUACUAGCCGUUGGGGCCUUUGAGGCUUUAGUGGCGCAGCUAACGCGAUAAGUAGACCGCCUGGGGAGUACGGUCGCAAGACUAAAACUCAAAUGAAUUGACGGGGGCCCGCACAAGCGG
rnacentral:rRNA from 1 species